UGCAAGUCGAACGCUUCUUUUUCCACCGGAGCUUGCUCCACCGGAAAAAGAGGAGUGGCGAACGGGUGAGUAACACGUGGGUAACCUGCCCAUCAGAAGGGGAUAACACUUGGAAACAGGUGCUAAUACCGUAUAACAAUCGAAACCGCAUGGUUUUGAUUUGAAAGGCGCUUUCGGGUGUCGCUGAUGGAUGGACCCGCGGUGCAUUAGCUAGUUGGUGAGGUAACGGCUCACCAAGGCCACGAUGCAUAGCCGACCUGAGAGGGUGAUCGGCCACAUUGGGACUGAGACACGGCCCAAACUCCUACGGGAGGCAGCAGUAGGGAAUCUUCGGCAAUGGACGAAAGUCUGACCGAGCAACGCCGCGUGAGUGAAGAAGGUUUUCGGAUCGUAAAACUCUGUUGUUAGAGAAGAACAAGGAUGAGAGUAACUGUUCAUCCCUUGACGGUAUCUAACCAGAAAGCCACGGCUAACUACGUGCCAGCAGCCGCGGUAAUACGUAGGUGGCAAGCGUUGUCCGGAUUUAUUGGGCGUAAAGCGAGCGCAGGCGGUUUCUUAAGUCUGAUGUGAAAGCCCCCGGCUCAACCGGGGAGGGUCAUUGGAAACUGGGAGACUUGAGUGCAGAAGAGGAGAGUGGAAUUCCAUGUGUAGCGGUGAAAUGCGUAGAUAUAUGGAGGAACACCAGUGGCGAAGGCGGCUCUCUGGUCUGUAACUGACGCUGAGGCUCGAAAGCGUGGGGAGCAAACAGGAUUAGAUACCCUGGUAGUCCACGCCGUAAACGAUGAGUGCUAAGUGUUGGAGGGUUUCCGCCCUUCAGUGCUGCAGCUAACGCAUUAAGCACUCCGCCUGGGGAGUACGACCGCAAGGUUGAAACUCAAAGGAAUUGACGGGGGCCCGCACAAGCGGUGGAGCAUGUGGUUUAAUUCGAAGCAACGCGAAGAACCUUACCAGGUCUUGACAUCCUUUGACCACUCUAGAGAUAGAGCUUCCCCUUCGGGGGCAAAGUGACAGGUGGUGCAUGGUUGUCGUCAGCUCGUGUCGUGAGAUGUUGGGUUAAGUCCCGCAACGAGCGCAACCCUUAUUGUUA
rnacentral:rRNA from 1 species